AUCAAGCAUCAAGAGAAGAACUAAUACUCAAUGGUUCUCGCCAACCUGCUAAACCUGGUAAGGUGGUCGAGUAAAAGAUGUGGCUUCGCAGCAAUUAAGAGGUCAAU
rnacentral:ncRNA from 10 species